UGGGGAAUUUUGGACAAUGGGGGAAACCCUGAUCCAGCCAUCCCGCGUGUGCGAUGAAGGCCUUCGGGUUGUAAAGCACUUUUGGCAGGAAAGAAACGUCAUGGGUUAAUACCCCGUGAAACUGACGGUACCUGCAGAAUAAGCACCGGCUAACUACGUGCCAGCAGCCGCGGUAAUACGUAGGGUGCAAGCGUUAAUCGGAAUUACUGGGCGUAAAGCGUGCGCAGGCGGUUCGGAAAGAAAGAUGUGAAAUCCCAGAGCUCAACUUUGGAACUGCAAUUUUAACUAACGGGCUAGAGUGUGGCAGAGGGAGGUGGAAUUAAGAGGGUAGCAGUGAAAGGCGAAGAUAUGCGGAGGAACAACGAGGGCGAAGGCAGACUACUGGGAUAACACUGACGCUCAUGCACGAAAGCGUGGGGAGCAAACAGG
rnacentral:rRNA from 1 species